UCCAAAAUUCCCCUGGUUGGUAUAAGUCUGGAGAAACCAGGCAUAAGCUUCCAGGAGUCUCUUCCCACAGCGUCACUUGGAACAUACUAAAUUCCCCAAGUAAAGAUGUGACGACAUGUGUGGAGUGUUACCGGUCAGGGAAGCUCAUCUCAGCCUUGGAGUCCAGGGUUUUUAAUGAGAAUCAGUCGUGUGGCCAUAUAGCCCCUGCAUGAUUUACCUCAGCUACUGAAACCCCAGACCACCAUAAAUCACAUUGUUAGGACUAAGCCUCUAGACAACUGGCACAGCUUGGCUCCAGGCCAAAGAAAUGCAAAACCACUCUUAUGAAAUGGAACAUUUCAUGAGCUCGGGUCCAGGAGCCAGUCGUAAAAAUAGGUCUUUCUGGGGAACGUGCCUUCCCCACACAAACAUCCUCAGCUUAAGAAGGGCAAAAUGAGCAGUGGCUUUUGAAACUCAGAGAUGAAGAUUUGUGAAGCCUUCCAGGUUAGGUCAUUUGGACUAGCAGAGGUGCUAGCCAAGAGUCAGAGAAAUGCAAGAUGGACAGUAAAGGGUGGGAGCCUAGCUAUCUGAUGUGACUGAAGUCCAGCUGCGUUGGCAGGGAUUACACCGCAUUCCACUCACCUUCCUCUCCUCAAUUUUCCCAGGAAAAGAAACCUGCUGGAGACCGCAAAGAGGUGUCCCCAAACUCUUGAAAGCACUUGACUCAAGCAAUGCAAAGGGUAGCAUCUGGGGACCUGGCCGCGCUGCCCAGAUUCCCUUCAGGACAAAGGUGCUUAUCACCAGCCACCAUGACUUCUCACCGCUGAUGCUACGGAAGACACAAAAGAGAAAGUGUGUUCAUGUCUCCAAACAGUUUCCUAUGGCUGCAAGUACUCAUCACAUUGGUCAUCACGGACAGACAGUACCUAACUCAGCAGGCAUAGGAGUCACAAGCCAGAAACACUGACUUAGAUAAUUAUGAAUAUUUGUCUCUGCCUCAAAGCAUAAAACCAAGAGAAAAUGGAAGGCAAGGCCUUUAGGCGCUAGCAUAUUUAUUACUUUCGGUGUAUUUGCUUACCUACAUCUCAACAUUUAGGAAGAAGAAAGCAUUUGAUGAAGCAACUGUUGAGAGUCGCCUCCCAAGCUCUCCAGACUCCAUCCUGCCAGUCCUGGAGAAUGCAGGGUGCUGAGCCUUGGGGAGUACUGCCAGUUAUUUUGCCUAUUUAGAUGCCUUACUAUCAGAAGACGACACUGACAGCGACUUUUGAAAACUGGCGACUAAGAGAAUCCUAAAGAUAGAGCCUACUGAGAAAUGGUCUUUGCACCAAGAAUGCAAGCCAUCUUCUCCUGUCUGUGAGAUCGUGCUCAGAAAGGAUCUAAUUACUGCUCUCACGGAUUUGGCGACCACAGAUAGAGAAGACUCACCUGCCCAGUGGCUUUGCGGACGGUGGGGGAAACCUCAAGAAUCAAGACCAGGGCUUAUGAAGAAGUGAUCAGUCCACGUUUUCACAUUGUGACUAAUGUUUGGAGACUGAUCAGGGUGAAUGUGGACCAAAGCAAAGGAGUAUCAAGACCUGGAUUGAUAAUACACACACACACACACACACACACACACACACACACACACACAUAGAUGUUUGACUAUUUGCGUAACUGGCAAGUGACUCAUUAGCCCACCCAGUAGUAACAAGACACGAGGACGUCAUUGAAAUUAAUUCUCCUUUGCUUCAAGGGGUCAGGGAAGAGAGCAGAAAAGGAAGACUUGUAAGUCAGGUACACAGUAUAAAUAAGAGCUGGUGGUGGGUGAGAUGAAAACUGCUCCAUAAAGCAAGGUGCACGUUAGGAAUAGGGACAGUGGAGCGUGCUGGUAAGCUCAGUCUUUGCUCCUGGCAUUGUGGCACCUGGGGACCCCUCCCGUGUGGGGGAUCCAGCACUCUGUACUACUCACUACAGAAGUCAGAGGGAUUUGAAGGGUCAGUGUGCAGUGUGAAUUGAAUACCAGUAACAAGAUGCACCGCGUAAGAAUUUCAUUUCAUUCUGAUGUAAGAACAGUUGUGCCACCCCGUGAGUUGUGACCUCUUACCUCUGGGCUAGAAGUCCAGGGCAAGUGGACUGGUCUUUAAGGCGGUGACCUUGAGGACGGACCACUCCCUUUUCACAUUUCACUGGCCCACACUAAUUCCUAGCUGCAAGGGAGGCUGAGAAAUGUAGUCUUCAGUUAGGUGGACCAUGCCCAAUAAAUACUAAAAAGAAAGGAGAGAAUAGUUCCUAGAGUGCAGUUAGGAGUUUUUGCGGCAAGGAUAUGUUGUGUCUCUAUGUAGCUGGAUGUCAGCACAUGACCUAGACUUAGACAAGAUCAGUUCUACUGGGCGCUUUGGGUUGGAGACUUGGUCGUAGCUAAGGGAAGAGUAUUUAGUUCCUGCCACCUUCUAAGCCCGAUUCCUUCUGGGCCGCUUUCUGGUAGUAAACACCUCUCAGGACAGUGUGUGCAAACGUUUCAUGGUAUGUGUUGAGAAAUAGGAUUUGUUGGGAAAGUUUAUGAGCAAAGGGCCAGUGAGAAAAGACACUCCUGGCCCCGGACCCUCAUUAUCCCCCUGAGGGGCACAUGGGGGUAGGAUUCUCUGGUGAACGUGCCAAGUACUUUGUUCUGACGGUUCCCCUUGUUAGGCAGUAGUCACCAACACUCUCCGUGCAGAGCUAAACACAGCACUUGUUAGAAGGCACACUGCAUUUGGGGUGCCUGUUGUUUGGACGGAUUGUCGGGGAAGGCCAGCCGCUGUUGGGAUGUGUGGCUGUGGCAAUUCUAGGUCCUCGCGCCACGGAAACUCAGUUUGAGGACGCCUCCUGCUGUACCCCCACUCAGGUCCUUCACUGCCCAGCUCCCAGGAUUGCACCGGAUGACCUGGCUUUUCAGACCACACCUCUCCACGUCUCCUACUGAUUUUAGGAACUGACGACUCUUCUCCUAAUAACUCAUUUCUCUGCUUGUACGUGGAAUUGGUUUCUAUUUUGUACAACCAUGAUAACUGCCUCAUAGACUGUAUGUAAUUCAGGUAGACAUGAAAUUUAAACGAACAAUUGAAUUACAUAGUUUGGAA